rnacentral:rRNA from 1 species
UUCGUAGGCGGUGCGGCAAGUCGGAAGUGAAAUCCCUGGGCUUAACUCAGGGGCUGCUCCCGAAACUGCCGUGCUUGAGUGCGGGAGAGGCCAGUGGAAUUGCAGGUGUAGCGGUGAAAUGCGUAGAUAUCUGCAGGAACACCCGUGGCGAAGGCGGCUGGCUGGACCGCAACUGACGCUGAGGAACGAAAGCUAGGGGAGCAAACA